UACAGAGGUCUCGAGCGUUAGGCGGAAUCACUGGCUUGAAAGCGUGUGUAGGCGGAUCGGUAAGUACCUUGUGAAACUCCCACAGGCUUAACUGUGGAACUGCUUGGUAUACUGCCAGUCUUGAGCCAGCUAGGGCGACCGGAACAGACGGUGGAGCGGUGAAAUGCGUAGAUAUCGUCUGGAACGCCAAUGGUGAAACAGGUCGCUGGGGCUGAUGCUGACGCUGAGACACGAAGCCAGGGAGCAAACGGG
rnacentral:rRNA from 1 species